AUACGGAGGGUCCAAGCGUUAUCCGGAAUCAUUGGGUUUAAAGGGUCCGCAGGCGGUCAAUUAAGUCAGAGGUGAAAGCCCAUCGCUCAACGAUGGAACUGCCUUUGAUACUGGUUGACUUGAGUUAUACGGAAGUAGAUAGAAUAAGUAGUGUAGCGGUGAAAUGCAUAGAUAUUACUUAGAAUACCGAUUGUGAAGGCAGUCUACUACGUAUAUACUGACGCUGAGGGACGAAAGCGUGGGGAGCGAACAGGAUUAGAAACCCUAGUAGUCC
rnacentral:rRNA from 1 species